rnacentral:rRNA from 1 species
UUAGUCCUAAACAUAAAAAAUUAUAAACAAAAUUAUUCGCCAGAGUACUACUGGCAACAGCUUAAAACUCAAAGGACUUGGCGGUGCCUUACAUCCCUCUAGAGGAGCCUGUUCUAUAAUCGAUAAACCCCGAUCUACCUCACCAGUCUUUGCUAAAUCAGCCUAUAUACCGCCAUCUUCAGCAAACCCUAAAAAGGAACUAAAGUAAGCAUAAAUAUUAACAUAAAAACGUUAGGUCAAGGUGUAGCCUAUAGACUGGGAAGAAAUGGGCUACAUUCCCCGAAUCGGAGAAAAUUAAAGUCCUACGAAAGCCUAUGUGAAACCAAAAGUCAAAGGUGGAUUUAGCAGUAAAUUAAGAAUAGAGAGCUUAAUUGAAUGUUGGCCAUAAGGCACGCACAACACCGCCCCGUCCCCCUCUGCAGUCAA